rnacentral:piRNA from 1 species
UGCACAACCAAUGUGUUAGCCAGUGUUAC